rnacentral:rRNA from 1 species
GAGUUUGAUCCUGGCUCAGAUUGAACGCUGGCGGCAUGCCUUACACAUGCAAGUCGAACGGCAGCACGGGAGCUUGCUCCUGGUGGCGAGUGGCGAACGGGUGAGUAAUGCAUCGGAACGUAUCCUGGAGUGGGGGGAUAACGUAGCGAAAGUUACGCUAAUACCGCAUAUUCUGUGAGCAGGAAAGCGGGGGACCUUCGGGCCUCGCGCUCUUGGAGCGGCCGAUGUCGGAUUAGCUAGUUGGUGAGGUAAAGGCUCACCAAGGCGACGAUCCGUAGCAGGUCUGAGAGGAUGAUCUGCCACACUGGAACUGAGACACGGUCCAGACUCCUACGGGAGCAGCAGUGGGGAAUUUUGGACAAUGGGGGCAACCCUGAUCCAGCCAUGCCGCGUGAGUGAAGAAGGCCU